UACAGAGGUCUCAAGCGUUGUUCGGAUUCAUUGGGCGUAAAGGGUGCGUAGGUGGCGUCGUAAGUCGGGUGUGAAAUUUCGGAGCUUAACUCCGAAACUGCAUUCGAUACUGCGGUGCUUGAGGACUGGAGAGGAGACUGGAAUUUACGGUGUAGCAGUGAAAUGCGUAGAGAUCGUAAGGAAGACCAGUGGCGAAGGCGGGUCUCUGGACAGUUCCUGACGCUGAGGCACGAAGGUCAGGGGAGCAAACGGG
rnacentral:rRNA from 1 species